AUGACUGUGUUUCAUAUAACGCUGUUCAAUAACGCUGUAUUGUCUUCCCACUCUCUUUCUCUCCCCCUUUCCUUCUCCCUCUGCCCAUCUCCAUCUCUCUGUGUAUAUCGCUCUACCUUACUCUUUCUCCAUCUCUUCCCCCUUUGUGUCUCUCUUUCUUUCUUUCUCCCUAUCUUAUGCUCUGUGUCCUUGGAUGGAGCAGCUGAUGAACUGGGCAUCAAGUUCAUGGAAAGCCGUGAGACUUACCAGAGAAAGGUGCUGUCCAUCUUCAGCAUUGCCUCAGGGAUCUGUUUUCUCGGAGUGGCAUGCAUGGCUCUCUAUCGCAGCAACAAGUGAGUGAGGGUCACACUGAGUAGCUAAGUAUGCCUCCAAACAACGAAUGGAAAAUUGUAUCAUCAUGGGAUAUUAGCAUAGUAAACUACAGGUGCAGCCCUGAUGUAAGAGGAUAUACUGAGCUUAUGUUUAUAUAAUGGCGAAGAGUGUUGGUCUCCAGCCAUGGCUCAUUGAUGCCAUACUUAGAAAUAUGACAAAAGACAACAUUCUUGUUUCAAAAUGUAUGUCUAAUCGAAAUAAUGUACACAUCCUCAACAGUAACCGUAGGUAAAGGCUAAUGCAAAAUAAUAUACUUUGUCUGCAGUUUGUUGAUUUUUUAAAACAUGGAAUCAUGGUUUGUUAACUGCACAAGUUACAGUUGGAAACCUAAAAAAGUGACCAGAGGAGGGAGACGUGUGGGCCCAAUAGAUAAAGUGGUCACGGACAGCAGACGGAACAUACAUACGCCCAACGGGACACUGGAGGGGAGGGGGCUCUGUACGCAAUGCCUGCUUAAUGUCCGCAUCCAGUUCCCACACGACCGGCGCUACCAGGCAUGAGGCCGGGAGUAUGGGAGUUUGAUCCAUGAGCCACUCCUCUGUGUCAUACAGCCGGGACAGUAGGUCUGCCUUCUUAUUCUAGGAACCUGGUCUGUAGGAUAGGGUAAACACAAAACGGGUAAAGAACAUGGCCCACCUUGCCUGAUGAGGAUUCAAUCUCCUAGCUGCCCGAAUGUACUCCAGGUUGCGGUGGUCAGUCCAGAUGAGGAAAGGGUGUUUUGCCCCCUCAAGCCAAUGUCUCCACGCCUUCAACGCUUUAACCACAGCCAACAAACUCCCGGUCCCCCACAUCAUAGUUACGCUCCGCUGGGCUGAGCACAGGGGUGGAGUUUCGGUGGCGUGCCCGAGCGCUGUGAGAGCAUGGCUUCUAUUCCAACCUCGGAUGCGUCCACCUCCAUUAUGAAUGCCAAAGAGGGAUCUGGAUGGGCCAGCACAGGAGCCGAAGUAAACAGAGCUCUUAGCUGCCCAAAAGCCCUGUCCGCCUCAGCCGACCACAGCAACCUUACAGGACCCCCCUUCAGCAGUGAGGUAAUGGGUGCAGCAACCUGGCCAAAACCCCGGGUAAAUCUCCGGUAGUAAUUGGCAAACCCUAAAAAUCACUGUACCUCCUUUACCGUGGUGGGAGUCGGCCAAUUACGAACAGCUGCAAUGCGGUCACUCUCCAUCUCCACUGCUGAUGUGGAAAUGCAAUACCCUAGGAAGGAGACGGCCUGCUGAAAGAACAGACAUUUCUCAGCCUUGACAUACAGGUCAUGCUCCAACAGUCAUCCAAGUACCUUGCGCACCAAGGACACAUGCUCAACGCGUGUAGCGGAGUAAAUCAGAAUGUCAUCGAUAUACACCCCUAAACCCAAAAUCUUGUCUGCAAAGGAUUGGAAAACUGAUGGAGCAUUCAUCAACCCGUACGGCAUGACGAGGUACUCAUAAUGCCCUGUGAUGGUACUGAACGAUGUCUCCCUCCCUGAUACGCACCAGGUUAUACGUACUCCUGAGAUCCAGUUUCAUGAAGAAGUGCGCCACAUGCAUUGACUCAAUUGCCGUGGUGAUAUGAGGUAGCGGGUAACUCUACCUCACCGUUAUUUGAUUGAGACCUCCACAGUCAAUGCACGGGCGUAAACCUCCAUCCUUCUUCUUCACAUAAAAGAAACUCGAGGAGGCGGGUGAAGUAGAGGGCCGAAUGUACCCCUGACGCAGGGAUUCAGAGACAUAUGUAUCCAUAGCCACCAUCUCCGUUUGCGACAGGGGAUACACGUGAUUCCUGGGAAGUGCAGCGUCUGCCAGGAGAUUUAUCGCACAAUCCCCCCGUCGAUGAGGUGGUAAUUGAGUGGCCUUCUUUUUACAGAGAGAGACAAAACGGCAUAUUCUGGGAGGAUGUGCACGGUGGAGACCUGGUCUGGACUUUCCACCGUGGUAGCACCAACGGAAACCACUACACACCUCUCUGAACACUCUCGUGACCACCCCGUGAGAGUCCUCUGUUGCCAGGAAAUAGUGGAGUUAUGCAGAGCCAACCAGGGAAGGCCUAGUACCACAGGAAACUGAGGAGAGUCAAUGAGGAAGAGACUGAUUCUCUCCUCAUGAUCCCCCUGCAUAACCAUGGCCAAGGAGAUGAUGGCCUCCCUGAUUAGCCCGGACCCUAAUGGUCGACUAUCAAGAGUGUGUACCGGGAAGGGUCUAACUAUAGGAAAAAUGGGGAUCCCUAACCUAAUGGCUAAUGCUCUGUCGAUAAAAUUCCCAGCUGCGCCUGAAUCGACGAGCGCCUUAUACUGGGAAUGUGGGGAAAACUGAGGGUAACAAACAGGCACAAACAGUUGAUCAACAGAGGACUCUGGAUGAGUGUGGUGCAAACCCAGAGUUGCCUCAACUCCCAGAGGAACCAACACGGCACCGACCGGCAGUUUGUCCUCUGCGCCCACAGAUGGCUCACUUGAUGGCUCCUCCUCCAGUCUCCCUAAGAGCAGCCCAUCCUAACUCCAUGGGCACCGGAGCGGGGGUCAUGGACGAUGGAACUGACAGAGCCCCCUCUGGACGUCAGCGGGUGACCAGCAUGUUAUCCAACUGGAAGGACAAAUCCACCAUUGGUCAAAGGACAGCUCACGUUGGACCUCCUCUCGUAGGCUGCAUCGAUAGUGGUCAAUGAGGGCCCUGUCGUUCCAGCCUGCUCCGGCGGCCAAGGUCCGGAAUUCCUGGGCGAAGUCACCUGCCACGCUCCUCGUCACCUGCCUCAAAUGGAAGAGCCUUUCCCCCACCGCUCUGCCCUCGGGUGGAUGGUCGAAGCCUGCCCGGAAGCGACUGGUGAACUCCUCGAAGUGGUCUGACACCGUGUCUCCUUCUCUCCACACAGCGUUUGCCCACUCCAGCGCUCUCCCUGUGAGGCAGGAGACGAGGGCGGUUGGGUGCACAGUGGCCAGGUAGAGGUCCAGUUGUAACAAGAAUCCCUGGCACUGUGCUGCAAUUCCAUCAUACUCCCUGGGAAGGGAGAGACGCAUCCCACUGGAAUUCUCUCCGGAUGGGACGGGUGGAGACAACCCCGGUUGUGCUGGUCGAGGCACUGGAGAGACUUCUUGUCUCUCCCAGUGGUCCAUGGCACUAAGAUGAAGUAAAAUGGCCGAAUGUUCCUGGACGCGCUCCUCGACUCCUCUAACCUUGCUACCUGCUCCUGCUGACUACAUUAGAAGUGUGUAAAUCUGCCAAGGGGUGUACUAGAGGCAAACUCAGGUGCAGGAGAGCAGAGGAAUGUUAAGUGGUGCACUUUUAUUUUUGUUCCAAAAACGAGAGCACUACAUAAAUCAAACGCGCUCAAAACAUGGAACAUAACAAAAGUAAAGCGCAUAAUAAAACCACACAAUAGCAUGAAACAAUUACACACAAAUACAUGAUGGGAAACAGAGGGUUAAAUACAAGUAGAUUGAUUGGGGAAAUCAAAACCAGAUGUGUAUGGAACAAGACAAAACAAAUAGACAUGAAAAAUGGAGCGGCGAUGGCUAGAAAGCCGGUGACGUCGAUCACUGAACGCUGACCGAACAAGGAGAGGAGCCGACUUCGGCGGAAGUUGUGACAGUCUUCGCAUAUCCAGCAACAUGUUACCACAGAGUUUCUGAACCCAGAGCCAUUUGCAAAGCAGUCCAGGAUGGGGUUUGAGAGGCGAAAAAUUAUUCCUUAGUUGUUUUAAUUUUCUCAAAAUCUUUUGGCACAACCUAGACUCGAGCCAAUGUCUUAAAUAACUGACA
ensembl:lncRNA